rnacentral:lncRNA from 1 species
UGGAAGGGCUGCAGAGGGAGAGGAGGGUGAAGGACCAGGGCCCGGGUUCAGGGAGAGAAGCCGGUCGGGGGGACGCAAGGGCCUGAGGAAUUGUCAGGCCUGUCCAGCCAGAGAGGCCUUUGCUGCCCCUGACCUUGCAGAAUGUCCCAUAUGCGAUGCCAGUUGGCCUUGGCAGCCCUUCUCAUCGAGUUCCCAACCGCACACAGGACGGAUGCACACGGACGAGCUGUCUGCACACCCUCUGAACUCACAGGCGUACACACUCGCCGAGGGCUAAUCGGAGGGCUGGAGAGGGGGAUUGGCCGGGACUGGGGGAGGAGAUGCUUCCAGCUUGACCUCGGGCUGCCCCGGUCCACCCAGGCCUCAGCCCUCCAAGACUUCGCCCCCUCCUCGGCCCAUCCGUCCCCUUUGCUCGGCUCUUCGAUGUACCGCUCGUCCGUCCGUUCCCGGUGUGUGUCCAAAACUUCCCCUCCAGGGCACCUUUGUUUGUGCGGACGGGACCUCUUGUUUCACCGCCAGUGCCCGGUUCGUGUGCAAAUUUUUAGUGGUUUUUUUUAAUAACUGGCCCCUCCUGCUGGGAUGGUUUUGUCAUACAGAUCCCAAAGAGAGAGGUGCGUGCAUGUGUAUCUGUGUAAGAAGUGUCCGUGGGUGGCGGCGUUCAAGUAGCGAGUGAGAGUCUAUUGGAGAUUGGGGUGGAUUGGAGUUUGGGCAGGGCCUUUCUCCCCCCUCCUCCGCCCCCUUCCAGGAUAUAAACAGCACGCAACAACUUUGGAAGAUUGUUUUUCGGGUAGUUCCUUCCCCGGCCUUGAGUUUAUUUACGCCUAGGGAUGUAAAACACGACGGACUAGGUGGAGGGGCCCUGGGGAGUGGGUAGGCAGGCCAGGCAGGCUUCCCACUGGGGAAGGCCCACCCCGCAUUCAUUAAUUCGUAUUUAUUGAGGGCUUACUCGGUGCUGAGGGCUGGGGAGAGUACAAUUGGGAAGAGAGAGAGGCUCAGUGGAAAGAGCACACACUUGGGAGUCAGAAGACAUGGGUUCUAAUUCCAGCUCUGACACUUUGCUGUGUGACCUUGGGCAAGUCGAUUAACUUCUCUGUGCUUCUGUACCCUAUCUAAAAAUGGGGAUUAAAACUGUGAGCCCCACAUGGGACAACCUGAUGACCUUGUAUCCACCCCAGCGCUUAGAAGAGUGCUCAGCACAUAGUAAGCGCUUAAUAAAUACCAUAAUUAUUAUUAUUAUCCCUGUCCAACGAUGGGCUCACAGUCUAGAAGGGGGGGAGAUGGACAAGAAAACCAAACAAGUAGACAGGAAUCGAUAGCAUCAAAAUAGAUCCAGAGGAUCAUAAAUAUGUACAAAUAUAUACAAGUGCAAAUAGAAUCAUAGAUAUAUACACAUCAUUAAUAAAGAGUAAUAAAUAUGUACAAAUAGUGCUGCGGGGAGGGGAAGGGGAUAGAAAAGAGGGAGGGAGUAGGGGCGAUGGGGAGGGGGUGGUAGAAGGGUUGCGGGGGGCUUCCUGGGGUCAUUCAUUCAUUCAAUUGCAUUUAUUGAGCAUUCGCUCUGUGCAGAGCACUGGACUAAGCACUUGGAAUGGCCAAUCCGGCCCCAGAUCGAGACAAUCCCUGCCCGGCGACGGGCUCGGAGUUUCUUGGCCAUGUCGGUCCUCAGUGCGGUGGCCAGCCUUUGGUACGGUCUCUUCCCCAGCGUGGCUCAGUGGCAAGAGCCCGGGCUUGGGAGUCAGAGGUCAAGGGUUCGAAUCCCGGCUCUGCCACUUGUCAGCUGUGUGACCGUGGGCAAGUCACUUCACUUCCCUGGGCCUCAGUUCCCUCAUCUGUAAAAUGGGGAUGAAGACGGUGAGCCUCACGUGGGACCACCUGAUGACCCUGUAUCCACUCCAGCGCUUAGAACAGUGCUCUGCACAUAGUAAGCGCUUAACAAAUACCAACAUCAUCAUUAUUAUUAUUAUUAUCCCCCGUGGGGCUGGGGGUUUGCUGAGGGUGAAAAGAGG